GAGUCCGCGGGGUAGAGAAGCCGGAAAUUCCUUGCCGUUCUCCUCCCCCACCCCCCGACUAGCGCUACGAAGUUCCGGCUCAGGUCUUCUACCUCGAGCUGUACAGCGAGCGGUAGCAUCGGAGCUGAGUGGAGCUGGUCAGGAUGAUCACGGACGUGCAGCUCGCCAUCUUCGCCAACAUGUUGGGCGUGUCGCUUUUCUUGCUUGUGGUUCUCUAUCACUACGUGGCAGUCAACAAUCCCAAGAAGCAGGAAUGAAAGUAGCGCUUUCUCCGCCACAGGGUUCCAGGACAUAGUCUGAGGCAAGAUGGAGGGUGUGCGGGGCCUUCACACUUCACUGCAUCCCUCCUACCCAUCACAGCAUAAAAAGCAACUACACCUGGAUUUUUCCAAACAACUUUUAUUUCCUCAAAGUCUUCCUUAACUCUAUGGAACAAGAAGCUGCCACUGAAUAGGGCCCAGUAUAGGGGCUGCUUUCUUUUCUAUUCCCUCCCCCCAAUACAAAAAUAUAAAUAUAUA